CAGCUCACUGCCCUGAGGACUUCUUAAGAGGCUGCUUACACCCUGUGCAGGAGUCAGUCCCUGUGAGGACACAGCAUGGCCAUGAGGGCCCCUGCUCAGCUCCUGGGGCUCCUGCUGCUCUGCCUCCCAGGUAUAAGAUGUGACAUCCAGAUGACCCAGUCUCCAUCCUCUCUGACUGCAUCUCAAGGAGACAGCGUCACCAUCACUUGCCAGGCAAGUGAGAAUGUUUACAACUAUGUUGCCUGGUAUCAGAAGAAACAAGAGCAAGCUCCUAAGCUACUCAUCUAUGCUGCAAGCAAUUUGCAAUCUGGGGUCCCCUCGAGGUUCAGUGGCAGUGGAUAUGGGACAGAUUUCACUCUCACCAUCAGCAGCCUGGAGAAUGAAGAUGUUGCCACUUAUUACUGUCAGCAGUAUUACAGUUCCCCACCCACAGUGACACAGGCACCAGGAGGUGAAAAGCUUUUCUCAUCCAUGCCCUUCUGCCAUGGGCGUCACUGUGGGAGCAGAGGAAAGCAUUCUGACAUCCGUGACCUGAAGUGA